GAUGAACGCUGGCGGCGUGCCUAACACAUGCAAGUCGAACGGAGUGGCGAACGGGCGAGUAACACGUGGGUGACCAGCCCUGCACUUCGGGAUAAGCCUGGGAAACUGGGGCUACUAACGGCUAGUGCGGGAUGGGCGCGCGGGCUAUCAGCUUGUUGGUGGGGUAAUGGCCUACCAAGGCGGCGACUGGUAGCCGGCCUGUGAGGAUGGACGGCCACAUUGGGCCUGAGUCACGGCCCAGACGCCUACGGGAGGCAGCAGUGGGGAAUAUUGCACAAUGGGCGGAAGCCUGAUGCAGCGGCGCCGGGUGGGGGAUGACGGCCUUCGGGUUGUAAACUCCUUUCACCAUCGACGCGGUAGAUGGAGAAGAAGCACCGGCUAACUACGUGCCAGCAGCCGCGGUAAUAC
rnacentral:rRNA from 1 species